rnacentral:rRNA from 1 species
UACGGAGGAUGCGAGCGUUAUCCGGAUUUAUUGGGUUUAAAGGGUGCGUAGGCGGAACGCCAAGUCAGCGGUAAAAAUUCGGGGCUCAACCCCGUCGUGCCGUUGAAACUGGUGUCCUUGAGUGGGCGAGAAGUAUGCGGAAUGCGUGGUGUAGCGGUGAAAUGCAUAGAUAUCACGCAGAACUCCGAUUGCGAAGGCAGCAUACCGGCGCCCGACUGACGCUGAAGCACGAAAGUGCGGGUAUCGAACAGG